AGGUCAUACGAAAGACCCAAGUUAAUAUUCUACCGGCGUAAAGAGUGCUUAAAUAUUUAUCAAAUAGAGCUAAGACUAGUCUUCGCUGUAAAAAGCCAAAGCCAAAGUAAAAAUCAAUAACGAAAGUAACUCUAAUUUUUGUAGCACUAAAGCUAUUACCUAAACUGGGAUUAGAUACCCCACUAUAAUUAGCCAUAAACAUAAGUAGUUCAUAACAUUACUACUCGCCAGAGAACUACAAGCCACCGCUUAAAACUCAAAGGACUUGGCGGUGCUUUAUAUCCACCUAGAGGAGCCUGUUCCAUAACCGAUGAUCCCCGAUUUACCUCACCACUCCUUGCUAAUUCAGCCUAUAUACCGCCAUCUUCAGUUAACCCUAAAAAGGAAAUAAAGUAAGCCUAAUCAGUAUUACUAAAGAAGUUAGGUCAAGGUGUAGCCCAUGGAGUGGAGCGAAAUGGGCUACAUUUUCUAUUACUAGAACAUUACGAAACUCUACGUGAAAUCCGUAGAAUAAAGGAGGAUUUAGUAGUAAAUUAAAACUAGAGUGUUUAAUUGAAUAGAGCAAUGAAGCACGCACACACCGCCCGUCACCCUCCUCAAUUUCUCAACAAUUAAAAGUACAUAACACCUAAUUACAAAAGAUUGAGAGGAGACAAGUCGUAACAAGGUAAGUGUACUGGAAAGUGCACUUGGAAAAAUC
rfam:Dipodomys ordii ctg_broad_rename0022691, whole genome shotgun sequence.